rnacentral:lncRNA from 1 species
AACUACUAUUUUCAUAAGAAAUGUCUACCAUUUUGAUAAGCAAAAUCACAAAAAUGUAGACUUUCUGGAAAUCAAAAAGGUUCUUGAUAUUGAACUCAUUAAAGGCAAAAGUUGCAAAGUCUACAUUUAACAUAAAACACAGCUACUAUUUUCAUGAGAAAUGUCCACCAUUUGGAUGAGCAAAAUCACAAAAAUGUAGAUUUUCUGGAAAUCAAAAUUGUUCUUGAGAAUGAAUCAAUAAUUGAAGAUGAAAGUUACAAAGUCUACAUUUAACAUAAGACACAAUUACUUUUUUCAUGAGAAAUGUCUACCAUUUGGAUGAACAAAAUCACAAAAAAGUAGACUUUUUAGAAAUUCGUUCUUGAGAUUGUUCUUCAAAGUUGGAUCAAGUACUCUAAGAUGUAAAGUCUACUAUUAACAUGAGUUAAGUCUACUAUUAACAUGAGUUAAGUCUAAUAAUAACAUGAGCUAACUGACAUGCAAAAGUAAACUUUCUGAAAGUUACUAUUUAUGGAAAUCAACUAUAAAAAGAAGGGUAAAUUUCCAUUUUGGGGGGAUAGUUAUGCUCUAAAAACGAAAGUUACUAUUUAUGGAAAUCAACUAUAAAAGGAAGGGUAAGUUUCCAUUUUGGGGGGGAUAGUUAUGCUCUAAAAACGAAAGUUACUAUUUAUAGAAAUCAACUAUAAAAGGAAGAGUAAGUUUCCAUUUUGAGGGGAUAGUUAUGCUCUAAAAACAAAAGUUACUAUUUAUGGAAAUCAACUAUAAAAGGAAGGGUAAGUUUCCAUUUUGGGGGGAUAGUUAUGCUUUAAAAACAAAAUUUACUAUUUAUGGAAAUCUACUAUAAAAGGAAUGGUAAGUUUCCAUUUCGGGGGAUUCCUUUUCUGAAAAUUCAACACUAAUUGCCACAUGUUGCGACCUCAUUCGUCCUAAGUCACUAAUCUGUCCAUGUCAAUAAAGUUUUACAUUUUUUCCACCAUUUCAAAACUUUAAAAAUGCAUAGAAAAUAGCUCCAGUGUCGGAAAAAUUCACCGAAAAAUGUCACGGACCACUGGCGGGACCCACUUCACAACUGCGUCUGAAUUUUAGUAAUUGGAAUCACAACGUACCUACUAAUGUGGUAUAACUUGUUUGGUAGGUUAUAUGCUAGUGUAUAACUUUGUGAACCAACUAUAUAGAGGAAGCAAAAUUUUCAAAAAUCUUGUGAAAUAGGAUGUGAUCGAUAUAAUAAAAUAUGGCUACGGUAGAAAAAUCACUUUAAUUUGCCAAUGUUUGGGCCCCGAUCGAAGCGGUCAACUCUAUUUACGUUUAUACUUCACUAAGGAGAGCCCUAUCCUCGGGUGGUAAAUGUCCCCCAAAGUUUUACAUGGGUGGUUAAAUCUCAUCUAUGUGAGACUUUAUUGUGUUGAAGAAUCCACCAAACUAGGUCACAAAGAGGUAGGUAAGAUAGUUUUCGUGUGAUAAGUGAAUAUGAAUUAGGGUUGACCGCUUUGAUCGAGCCCCGAACAUUGUUGAUUCCAGUUGAAUUUUAUACCAUAGUCAUGUUUCACUAUAAUGAUCACAUCAUAUGGUCAAUUUUCAUUUUGUGAAUAUUAGUCAUCGAAAUCAUAACAUGCCUACUAAAGUAAUAUAACUUGUUUGAUAGGUUAUAUGCUAGUGUACAACUUUGUGAACCAACUAUAUAGAGGAAGCAAAAUUUUCAAAAAUCUCAUGAAAUAGGAUGUGAUCGGUAUAGUAAAAUACGGCUACGGUAGGAAAAUCACUUUAAUUUGUCAAUGUUUGGGCCCCGAUCGAAGCGGUCAACCCUAUUUAUGCUUAUGCUUCAAUAAGGAGAGCCCUAUCCUCGGGUGGUAAACGUCCCCAAAAUUUUACAUGGGUGGUUAUGUCUCAUCUAUGUGACACUUUGUUGUGUUGAAAGAAUCCCACCAAACUAGGUCACGAAGAGGUAGGAAAGAUAGCUUUCGUGUGAUAAGUGAAGUUGAAUUAGGGUUGACCGCUUUGAUCGAGCAUCGAACAUUGUUGAUCCAAUUGAAUUUUAUACCAUAGCUAUGUUUCACUAUAA